rnacentral:rRNA from 1 species
UCGAGGGCCUCCACUUGCCCCCGUGCCAGCAGUCCAGUUCAGAUCCACCGCCUCCAUCCCCAUCGAGCACAAUCCACCUCGCCGUUGACUGCUGCCUCCCUCCCCAUGGAGCGCCGUCCACCCUGCCGUUGACGGCCGCCUCCCUCCCCAUGAAGCGCCGUCCACCUCGCCGUUGACGGCCGCCUCCCUCCCCAUGGAGCGCCAUCCACCCCGCCGCUGGCGGCCGCCUCCCUCCCCUUGAAGCGCCGUCCACCUCGCCGUCGACGACCGCCUCCCUCCCCAUGAAGCGUCGUCCACCCCGCCGUUGAGGGCCGCCUCCACCCCUCCAGACCGGCCACCUCUUCGCUGCGAGCCUAGGACGUCCAGAUCUGCCUACCUCGGCUCUGACUUCCAGAUCCUCCCCCAGAUCCGCCUGCGUGCAAAGGGGUGGUUCAUGAUCAUCCAUUCAGACCAAAAGCAUGUUGGUAAGUUGCAUUCAGUUUAUGGUGGGAAAGAUGUAUUGCCAUAGGGAAGCUACAAAAUUGAACACUUACAGGUGCAUGGGUAGUUUAUUUGAGUUAUAGGUGAUGGUGCUAUAAGGAAAGCAGUGCUUGUUGCAAAAGCUAGGGAGAAGGAUGUAGGACAAUCACACUCUGUUGUACCAAGAUUUAUUGAGGAAAAAUGUUCAGUUGCAAAGGCACUGCAAAAAUGAUUCUCUUCUGACCAAACAUCUACAAUUGGUAUAUGUCAAGAUGGGAUAGGAAAUACCCAAGAGCUUCUUGCUUUUCAUGAUGAGCCAAUGGAUGGUAGUGAUCUGUGCUAGCCUAAAAAGCCGGACAUGGGGACAUGCUCAGACAUGCGUAUGCCGCCGUAUUUCGUGAUUACGAAUGAAAAAAAGAAUGCAUAGGGAGCAUGUCCUCCCAAUGGCAACCACACCAGACUAGGGGUGAAUGGAUCCUCCCAAGGCCAAGAGAAUGCUUGUACUCCAUUGACAAAUUCUUCUCAUCCUGAAGAUCUUGCUCAUGCUACACACCUGGAUGAGCGUGGUUCUACUCCAAAGAGGAUAAUCAUUCAGGAAUGCCACUAGCAUAAUUAGUGUUUAAUAUCGUGAACCAGGGUGCAGGUAGCCUUUUAUUUUUUCACUUGCUUCUCUUGGCAAUUCAUGUAAAUUCGUGGCAAAUCAUGUAAGUUGAGGUUCUAUGAAUCAUGAGUUGGGUAUGAAUAUGUGGAUCUUGUGAACAUUGAGCUUUCAAUAUAAUUGGUUCAUUGUGAAUUA